rnacentral:rRNA from 1 species
UACGUAGGGGGCUAGCGUUGUCCGGAUUUAUUGGGCGUAAAGAGCGCGCAGGCGGUCGUGCAAGUCGGGUGUGAAAGCCCCCGGCUCAACUGGGGAGGGUCACGCGAUACUGAUCGACUCGAAGGCAGGAGAGGGUAGUGGAAUUCCCGGUGUAGUGGUGAAAUGCGUAGAUAUCGGGAGGAACACCAGUGGCGAAGGCGACUACCUGGCCUGUUAUUGACGCUGAGGCGCGAAAGCUAGGGGAGCAAACGGG